rnacentral:rRNA from 1 species
GUGAAUUUGCAGCUAACUGUACAGUGCCCGUGAUACUGUAGGCUAGGAUUGAUGCUGUGGGUGGAAUGUGUGGUGUAGCGGUGAAAUGCUUAGAUAUCACACAGAAUAUCGAUUGCGAAGGCAGCUCACAAAGCCAAGAUUGACGCUGAGGCACGAAAGUGUGGGGAUCAAACAGGAUUAGGUACCGUAGUAGUACACACUGUAAACGAUGAUAACUCGCUGCUGACGAUACACAGUCGGUGGCCAAGCGAAAGCGAUAAGUUAUCCACCUGGGGAGUACGACCGCAAGGUUGAAACUCAAAGGAAUUGACGGGGGCCCGCACAAGCGGAGGAACAUGUGGUUUAAUUCGAUGAUACGCGAGGAACCUUACCCGGGCUCGACCGGUGCAUGAAUAUACAAGAGAUUGUAUAGUCCUUCGGGACAUGUAUCGAGGUGCUGCAUGGUUGUCGUCAGCUCGUGCCGUGAGGUGUCGGCUUAAGUGCCAUAACGAGCGCAACCCUUGUCAUUAGUUACCAUCAGGUCAAGCUGGGGACUCUAAUGAGACUGCCACCGUAAGGUGUGAGGAAGGGGGGGAUGACGUCAAAUCAGCACGGCCCUUAUGUCCGGGGCGACACACGUGUUACAAUGGGGGGUACAGAGGGCAGCCAUCCGGCGACGGAGCGCUAAUCUCAAAAACUCUCCUCAGUUCGGAUUGGAGUCUGCAACUCGACUCCAUGAAGUUGGAUUCGCUAGUAAUCGCGCAUCAGCCAUGGCGCGGUGAAUACGUUCCCGGGCCUUGUACACACCGCCCGUCAAGCCAUGGAAGCUUGGGGUGCCUGAAGUUCGUGACCGCAAGGACCGACCUAG